GACGGAGGGUGCUAGCGUUGUUCGGAAUUACUGGGCGUAAAGCGCACGUAGGCGGAUACUUAAGUCAGGGGUGAAAUCCCGGGGCUCAACCCCGGAACUGCCUUUGAUACUGGGUAUCUCGAGUCCGGAAGAGGUGAGUGGAAUUCCGAGUGUAGAGGUGAAAUUCGUAGAUAUUCGGAGGAACACCAGUGGCGAAGGCGGCUCACUGGUCCGGUACUGACGCUGAGGUGCGAAAGCGUGGGGAGCAAACAGG
rnacentral:rRNA from 1 species